CUUCCUCGCCAUCAAACGUCAGCCAUGUCUCUCAAGGUGAUCCUCGUAGCGUGUGUGGCCGCAGUGGCUCUGGCCGAUAAGGCUCCCGUGCACCAUCUGCCACCUGUUUACGCCGCACCCACGUACCACGCUCCCGAACCCGUGUACCAUGCCCCUGCCCACUACAAGGAGCCAGAGUACCCCACCGUCCCCCCGAAGUACAACUACAACUACGGCGUCGCCGACGGC
rnacentral:lncRNA from 1 species